ACGAACGCUGGCGGCAUGCCUAACACAUGCAGGUCGAACGAGACCUUCGGGUCUAGUGGCGCACGGGUGCGUAACGCGUGGGAACCUGCCCUUAGGUUCGGAAUAACUCCCCGAAAGGGGUGCUAAUACCGGAUAAUGUCUUCGGACCAAAGAUUUAUCGCCUUUGGAUGGGCCCGCGUUGGAUUAGCUAGUUGGUAGGGUAAAAGCCUACCAAGGCGACGAUCCAUAGCUGGUCUGAGAGGAUGAUCAGCCACACUGGGACUGAGACACGGCCCAGACUCCUACGGGAGGCAGCAGUGGGGAAUAUUGGACAAUGGGCGAAAGCCUGAUCCAGCAAUGCCGCGUGAGUGAUGAAGGCCUUAGGGUUGUAAAGCUCUUUUACCCGGGAUGAUAAUGACAGUACCGGGAGAAUAAGCUCCGGCUAACUCCGUG
rnacentral:rRNA from 1 species